AGUUAAGUGAGAAAGCGUACAGGGCGGAUGCCUUGGCAAUCAGAGGCGAAGAAGGACGUGCUAAUCUGCGAAAAGCGUGGGUGAGUUGAUAAGAAGCGUUUAACCCACGAUGUCCGAAUGGGGAAACCCGAUAGGCGAAGAGCCUAUCAUUGCGAGGUGAAUAAAAUAGCCUCGUAAGGCGAACCGGGAGAACUGAAACAUCUAAGUACCCCGAGGAAAAGAAAUCAACCGAGAUUCUGUGAGUAGCGGCGAGCGAAAGCGGAGGAGCCAGUAAGUAAUAGCAGCAGAGAUAGAGGAAUUGUCUGGGAAGGCAAGCGACACAGGGUGAUAGCCCCGUACUUAAAAUCCAGGCUGUGGUACUAAGCUUACGAGAAGUAGGGCGGGACACGAGGAAUCUUGUCUGAAGAUGGGGGGACCAUCCUCCAAGGCUAAAUACUCCUGAUUGACCGAUAGUGAACCAGUACUGUGAAGGAAAGGCGAAAAGAACCCCGGUGAGGGGAGUGAAAUAGAACCUGAAACCCUGUACGUACAAGCAGUGGGAGCCCGCAAGGGUGACUGCGUACCUUUUGUAUAAUGGGUCAGCGACUUAUAUUUUGUAGCAAGGUUAACUGAAUAAGGGAGCCGAAGGGAAACCGAGUCUUAACUGGGCGGUUAGUUGCAAGGUAUAGACCCGAAACCCGGUGAUCUAGCCAUGGGCAGGUUGAAGGUUGGGUAACACUAACUGGAGGACCGAACCGACUAAUGUUGAAAAAUUAGCGGAUGACCUGUGGCUGGGGGUGAAAGGCCAAUCAAACCGGGAGAUAGCUGGUUCUCCCCGAAAUCUAUUUAGGUAGAGCCUUGUGUGAAUACCUUUGGGGGUAGAGCACUGUUUCGGCUAGGGGCCCAUCCCGGGUUACCAAACCGAUGCAAACUCCGAAUACCAAAGAGUAAUGCACAGGAGACACACGGCGGGUGCUAACGUCCGUCGUGGAGAGGGAAACAACCCAGACCGCCAGCUAAGGUCCCAAAAUCUAUAUUAAGUGGGAAACGAAGUGGGAAGGCUUAGACAGCUAGGAUGUUGGCUUAGAAGCAGCCACCAUUUAAAGAAAGCGUAAUAGCUCACUAGUCGAGUCGGCCUGCGCGGAAGAUGUAACGGGGCUAAAAUAUAGUACCGAAGCUGCGGCAUCAAUCGAAAGAUUGUUGGGUAGGGGAGCGUUGUGUAAGCGGAAGAAGGUGAUUUGAGAAGAUUGCUGGACGUAUCACAAGUGCGAAUGCUGACAUAAGUAACGAUAAAACGGGUGAAAAACCCGUUCGCCGGAAGACCAAGGGUUCCUGUCCAACGUUAAUCGGGGCAGGGUGAGUCGGCCCCUAAGGCGAGGCUGAAAAGCGUAGUCGAUGGGAAACGGGUUAAUAUUCCCGUACUUGGUAAAGCUGCGAUGUGGGGACGGAGAAGGUUAGGUUAUCGACCUGUUGGAGAUGGUCGUUUAAGUUGGUAGGUGGGUGAGUUAGGCAAAUCCGGCUCACCGUUAACACUGAGAGAUGAUGACGAGGCACUAAGGUGCUGAAGUAACUGAUACCACACUUCCAGGAAAAGCCACUAAGCUUCAGGCUUUACUAAACCGUACUGAAAACCGACACAGGUGGUCAGGUAGAGAAUACUCAGGCGCUUGAGAGAACUCGGGUGAAGGAACUAGGCAAAAUAGCACCGUAACUUCGGGAGAAGGUGCGCCGGCGUAGAUUGUAGUGACUUGCUCACGAAGGUUGAACCGGUCGAAGAUACCAGCUGGCUGCAACUGUUUAUUAAAAACACAGCACUCUGCAAACACGAAAGUGGACGUAUAGGGUGUGAUGCCUGCCCGGUGCUGGAAGGUUAAUUGAUGGUGUAAUCGAAAGAGAAGCUCCUGAUCGAAGCCCCAGUAAACGGCGGUAGUAACUAUAACGGUCCUAAGGUAGCGAAAUUCCUUGUCGGGUAAGUUCCGACCUGCACGAAUGGCAUAAUGAUGGCCAGGCUGUCUCCACCCGAGACUCAGUGAAAUUGAAAUCGCCGUGAAGAUGCGGUGUACCCGCGGCUAGACGGAAAGACCCCGUGAACCUUUACUAUAGCUUGACACUGAACCUUGAAUUUUGAUGUGUAGGAUAGGUGGGAGACUAUGAAGCGGUAACGCCAGUUAUCGUGGAGUCGUUGUUGAAAUACCACCCUUUAACGUUUGAUGUUCUAACGAAGUGCCUGAAACGGGUACUCGGACAGUGUCUGGUGGGUAGUUUGACUGGGGCGGUCUCCUCCCAAAGUGUAACGGAGGAGCACGAAGGUUUGCUAAUGACGGUCGGACAUCGUCAGGUUAGUGCAAUGGUAUAAGCAAGCUUAACUGCGAGACAGACAAGUCGAGCAGGUGCGAAAGCAGGUCAUAGUGAUCCGGUGGUUCUGAAUGGAAGAGUACCAUCGCUCAACGGAUAAAAGGUACUCCGGGGAUAACAGGCUGAUACCGCCCAAGAGUUCAUAUCGACGGCGGUGUUUGGCACCUCGAUGUCGGCUCAUCACAUCCUGGGGCUGAAGUAGGUCCCAAGGGUAUGGCUGUUCGCCAUUUAAAGUGGUACGCGAGCUGGGUUUAGAACGUCGUGAGACAGUUCGGUCCCUAUCUGCCGUGGGCGUUGGAGAAUUGAGAGGGGCUGCUCCUAGUACGAGAGGACCGGAGUGGACGCAUCACUGGUGUACCAGUUGUCUCGCCAGAGGCACAGCUGGGUAGCUAAAUGCGGAAGAGAUAAGUGCUGAAAGCAUCUAAGCACGAAACUUGCCUCAAGAUGAGUUCUCCCAGUCUAUAAGACUGUAAGGGUUGUUGGAGACUACGACGUAGAUAGGCUGGGUGUGUAAGCGGUGUGAGCCGUUGAGCUAACCAGUACUAAUUGCCCGAGAGGCUUAACUAU
rnacentral:rRNA from 1 species